AAAUAGGGGUUGAAUCGGAGCAGGGUCAAGCUUCUAACCUUAUAUAAAUCAAGUUAAUGUGGUAGUCCUAUCAAGGGCAGUAUUUUGGAAUGUCGGUGUGAUGACCCUCCCUUAGAGGUAAGCCAGUUUCCGUCUCUGAACCUUAUCCAUCUCCUGGUUCUGGGAAGGGAAAAGAACAGAUGUGAUCUCAGGGAGGAUGAGAAUAUAUCAUCUUGUAAGAGAAGUUUCAGUCACACAGGAGAAGCAGGAACACCUCCCCUUCCAGACCCAGUGGACUAUGGAAGAAGAAGAAUGUUACAGAGUUUCCUCUUUGCAGCCUAUUCCUGGGUCAAAACCUGGGGCGUGAGUGGGUGAUGCUGGGAAAUACAACACAGCUGAUAGCUAUGGAAGAAUCUGGAAUAUCAGAGGCUAAUAGCAUGUUCCUCUUCACUGCCUGAGACAUGGAGGAACAUGGCCUGUGCGGUUGAAGUUUACUCAGGCUCUGCUGUUACGUGCUGCACUUCUCCCCUUUCAUCCCAUGAAUGCUCACAAGCCCCCUGGAUAGCUACAGUGCCAACCACCACAGAGGACUGAGAAGGAAGAACUCCACAGGCCUGUAUGAGUCUGGGCCGCAGGAAAGGAGAGAAGGGCUCCACAUAGGAAUUCAUUCUCUCAGCAAGUGGGGAACUGAUUUCUAUGCCUGCCCUACCUGGGCCAACUUCAAAGUGGCCUUGAACCUGGCCACUUGCCUGCAGAGAGAAAAGUGAGACAACAUUACUUGACCCCCAACUCACCAAAGAAAUGAGGAUGUACCCUGCUCAAAGAAAAUGUGAUUCCUGGAAAUCCAGAUUUAUGAAAAUAAGAUUAAGUCAACGAUUAGAAAAUUGCCUGGAACUCUCUUCCCUCUGCUGGCGAAUUGGAAAGAAGAAGGCUGAAAAAAUGCAGCGCUGGAUAAUUCAAUUCACAGGGCUGUUUGGAAAGAGGGCUGGCAAAUAAGAUUCUCCCAUGUCAGAUGGCAAACUCACAUGAUUGGCAGAAGCUUCUAAAAUGUUACCUAAGGUCCAAUCUGGGCUCCGUGGCGAAGAACGGCAUGAGGUUUGAACAAAGCUGCCUCUGGAAGGGGGAUUAGCCCACACAGGGGCCACAUAUUUACUACUUUCCCCUGGGGGGUAGGGCCAAGAUAUGGGCACCUUAAGAUUCAAUGGACUCAUAAAGAUAUGCUCUCUGGGGGGGAUAGGGGGGUGACUGGUUAGCUCAGUUGGUUAGAGUGUGGUGCUGAUAACACCAGG